UAAAAGACCAGUGGUCAAGUAAGAACUCCCUACAAGACACAGAGAACCACAAGUUUACUUUUGCCUGUGAAACAAUCUUAGGGAGAAGAAAAUUCUGGAACAAGAACAAUUUUUAAAGUACGUAAUCGUGCAGAGGACUUUCAAAGUUUGAGAAAUGUCAUAGUGGCAGAUUCUUCCCACACCUCUGUGAGGCUCAGUCACAAUCUUCAGGGAAAAAAGGAAGAGAUGAUAAGGUAAGAU
rnacentral:lncRNA from 1 species